GUGAGGAAUAUUGCGCAAUGGAGGCAACUCUGACGCAGCCAUGCCGCGUGCAGGAAGAAGGCGCUACGCGUUGUAAACUGCUUUUAACCGGGAAGAAACCCCAGGACGUGUCCUGGGUUGACGGUACCGGAGGAAUAAGCACCGGCUAACUUCGUGCCAGCAGCCGCGGUAAUACGAAGGGUGCAAGCGUUAUCCGGAUUCAUUGGGUUUAAAGGGUGCGUAGGCGGAGCGUUAAGUCAGUGGUGAAAUCCUGCAGCUUAACUGUAGACUUGCCAUUGAUACUGGCGCUCUUGAGUGCGCUUGAAGUGGGCGGAAUGUGCCGUGUAGCGGUGAAAUGCUUAGAUAUGGCACAGAACACCAAUUGCGAAGGCAGCUCACUAAGGCGAUACUGACGCUGAGGCACGAAAGCGUGGGGAUCAAACAGGAUUAGAAACCCCAGUAGUCC
rnacentral:rRNA from 1 species